GUCACGGGCCGGGCUGCAGCUGGAGAGCACCGCGCGGCGCAGUGAGCGGGACUCACCGGCAGAGGGAGUGAAGCGCUCCCCUCCUCGCGUUCCCCCUGUUUGAAGAGACAAUGUCGCGUUAUGGCACCGGAGACAGAACUUGAUGAGGUGCACAGGAACCACACGCACCUUUGGGUCCAGCGAUACUCCAGGCUGUGAAACCGGGCUCUCCCUCUCCGCUCUGACCGGCUCCGCCGCCGCUUUGCUCUUCAAGAUGGUUUCAACGCUGUGACACGACACAGUGUCAUCUCAGUGUCUUACAUAACACCACAUUAUACCGGUUUGUAUUGGAAGAGCGCGUUACUAUGCGUUGUCCUGAAGAGUCGGCGGCUUCUUCCCUCCGAGUCCGGAGCAGAUGAACCUGGAGCUCAGCUCGUCCACCUCCCCGAUCACCAUCACCGCCACGUCUCCGUCCCGGCCGAGCAGCCAGCUCACGCUUUUACGGUUGUCUGUGGGGAACACGCACACCACCAGCUGAUUCACCCAAAAAUAAUACAGACAACAGUUGUACAAUCGCUUCUUCAACAUUCUUAUUUGAGUUGAGGGAAAACAGAUUCACAGCAGAACCUUUUUCAUAAUUCAAUGCACUCAAAAUCUGAGAUAAUCUGUUUUUGCUGAUUAUCAGUAUCAGGUGUAAAGAACUGAGAUGAUUUUGGUUCAAACACACUCUUAACUAACAGCUGGUGGCUGCCAAGCACCUCGAUAUGCAUGAAACGGGAAGUUAUCUAAUUAUGAUAAUAUCAAGUCACACCUUAAAACCAUUAAAUGCCAAUUUGUUUCCUAUCGUAAUAAACAGCGGAUGAGCUCUU